CGUUGUGUUGCGUUGUAGACGUUGCGUUGUAGACGUUGCGUUGCAGACGUUGCGUUGUAGUCGUUGCGUUGUAGACGUUGCGUUGUAGACGUUGUGUUGUGUUGUAGACGUUGUGUUGUAGACGUUGUGUUGUAGACGUUGUGUUGUGUUGUAGGCGUUGUGUUGUAGACGUUGUGUUGUAGACGUUGUGUUGUAGACGUUGUAGACGUUACGUUGUGUUGUAGAAGUUGUGUUGUAGACGUUGUGUUGUAGAAGUUGUGUUGUGUUGUAGACGUUGUGUUGUAGACAUUGCGUUGUAGACGUUGCGUUGUAGACAUUGUGUUGUCGUCUGCUCCGGUCACCUGACGGCUGGGCGUCGGCGGGUUGUUCCAAAAGUGACGCCGCAUGGUAAGGAUAUACGGUCCUCUCUCUGAU
ensembl:lncRNA